GGGGGCGUCACGGUUUCGACGGGAUGUGCUCUGGCGAGAGAAGCAGGCGGAGUUCCGAGCCCUCCUAAAACGAUCGGACAACGUAUAAACGCAAACAGCGAAUACGCACUGGCUGCCUAAUCUAGGCUAGUCACGCUUGCGGGGCAACGGCUCCGUCACGGGCCCGCAAGUGUCACCAAGUACGGAUACCGGCGUAGGCGCUUCGAUGCGUUCGGGAAAUAGAUCGAGGCUAGCGGCAGCGGUAAUCCCGCUCAGGGGAGUACGAGGCCGCGAAUCCAAAGCCUGAGAUAAGCCUGUAGAUGCUUUCGUGGGAGUCUUUUCGGACACCGGUUCAACUCCGGUCGCCUCCACCA
rnacentral:tmRNA from 2 species